ACCUAGGAAGCUGGACAGCUCAGUUGGUAGAGCUUGAGACUCUUGAUCUCAGGGUUGUGGGUUCAAGCCCCAUGUUGGGUG